GGACACCCAACAGGUGCCAUGGGGAUGGUGAUGGGGACUGGGGACAUGCAGGAGGUGCCAUGUGGAUGGCAGUGAGGAUUGGGGCAUCCAGGAGGUGCCAUGGAGGUGGCAUUGAGAGUUAGGGACACUCAGAAGGUGCUGUGGGGAUGGUGAUGGGGAUUGAGGACGUGCAAGAGGUGCCGUAGGGAUGGCAGUGAGGAUUGGAGCAUCCAGGAGGUGCUGUGGGGGUGUGAUGGGGACUGGGGACAUGCAGGAGGUGCCAUGGAGGUGGCAUUGAGAUUUAGGGACACUCAGAAGGUGC